rnacentral:rRNA from 1 species
UGAGCUUGAUCCUGGCUCAGGAUGAACGCUGGCGGCGUGCUUAACACAUGCAAGUCGAACGAUGACCCGGUGCUUGCACCGGGGAUUAGUGGCGAACGGGUGAGUAACACGUGAGUAACCUGCCCUUAACUCUGGGAUAAGCCUGGGAAACUGGGUCUAAUACCGGAUAUGACUCCUCAUCGCAUGGUGGGGGGUGGAAAGCUUUAUUGUGGUUUUGGAUGGACUCGCGGCCUAUCAGCUUGUUGGUGAGGUAAUGGCUCACCAAGGCGACGACGGGUAGCCGGCCUGAGAGGGUGACCGGCCACACUGGGACUGAGACACGGCCCAGACUCCUACGGGAGGCAGCAGUGGGGAAUAUUGCACAAUGGGCGAAAGCCUGAUGCAGCGACGCCGCGUGAGGGAUGACGGCCUUCGGGUUGUAAACCUCUUUCAGUAGGGAAGAAGCGAAAGUGACGGUACCUG